AAUAAGUACAACCUUGACUUAACAGACGAACAAUUGCGUGUCUUUGCCGCUUUAUAUGCUUGGCGUGAUCGUGUUGCUCGUACUGAAGACGAAAGC
rnacentral:ribozyme from 1 species